UUUUAAGAUUCUCUCAAAAGCUAGAAACUACCAUCCCUAAGGCCUAAAUAUUUUAAUAGUUUGUCCCUAUCCUAUCGAACCAAAUCAACCCAAGAUCCCUACUCCCUCUCCCAAUACGAAAAAUGAAGGGAAUGAAAUUACUUGCAUGGUUUUUGUUCAUCUCAUGCUCUCAUGCCCUAUCAAGCUUGGCUCUCAAAGGCUUCUUCAAGUUAGAAUAUGAACAAAAAGGUGCUAAACUCUCAAGGCCUAUUGGACAAGGACAAGACUUUCAUGGUGUGGACGGCGCGGUCAAACUGUGUGGAGAAAAACAUGAAAUGGAUGAGCCAAGGAAGAUCCAAAAAGGGAAAGGGGGAGUUUAUGGGGGUGCAAAUAUUGCUCAUAAGCCACGCCCAACUGAGAGAAGUAGUGCACCAUCAUUGCUAGCAAAGCCCCAACGGCUUUUUCUCUUCACUAAAACCAGGUUGCAAGUAACCUUUGCUUUGAUUCUUAUUCUUCUCUUUCAAUUGCUCUAAUAAGUUUCCGAUCGAUCGGAAAUUUGUAUUGAAUAUGAAGCUUUGGUCUGUCAAUUGUGCGUUCUUCUCCCUUUUUCUUUGGUGUUUUACCUCUUGAUGUCUGAUUUUAAGCUUUCCCUUUGAGUGUCCUUGGAAGAUCCUUUGAUUCCUAGUCUUUUUAUAGGAUUAUGACACCCUUACUUAUAAUUAAGAUUGUAAUUUGAUGAGUGUUGAUUUUUUUUGUUGGUAAGUUUUCAGAAAUUGCUUGUGAGCUUGUACCAGGAUUAUUGUGCUAUUCUUGUACUUUCUCUUACUAAAUUGGUUGUGCAUGUGGUGUGAUUUAUGUUUAUGUACUCUCUCUCUCUCUCUCUCUCUCAGAAUAAUGGGCAAUUAUAAACAGGACUUCAACACAUUUCCUUGUUGCAGAAUUAUCAUCUUCCACCAUUUGGAAAGAAAUGAGCUUCUCAAAGAUAAACCAAAGAAUCAAAAAGAUGUUGGAGGAUCAAUAGCCUGAAACAUAAGUGUGUUAUGAGGUGUAUAUUAUUAUAACAAGAUGACACUGUUGGUUUUUGCAAGGCAUUGCAAACAUGGUUGAGUUAAAAUUAGUCCCACAUUGGAAAAUUAGAGUUUCUCGGGUCUUUAUAAGACGUACUCUUGGAAUAGAAUAGUUUGGAUUCAGCUAUGCAAGUGGCCCAAUUAAGUGGCUUAUGGAUUU